rnacentral:tRNA from 1 species
GGGGAUGUAACUCAGUGGUAGAGCACUUGCCUUGCAUGCAAGGUGCCAUAUCCA